GUGUUCCCCUUGGCAGCACAUAUAUUAAAAGUGAAAUGAUGUGGAGGAGAUUAGCAAGACUCCAGUGCUAGGAUGGUGUGCAAGUAUUGGAAUAUUCCAUAAAUAUAU
ensembl:snRNA U6 U6 spliceosomal RNA